rnacentral:rRNA from 1 species
GACGAACGCUGGCGGCGUGCUUAACACAUGCAAGUCGAACGGACAGACAGAGAGCUUGCUCUCUUGAAGUUAGUGGCGAACGGGUGAGUAACGCGUAAUCAACCUGCCCUUCAGAGGGGGAUAACAACGGGAAACCGUUGCUAAUACCGCGUACGAUUCAUGAACGGCAUCGUUUAUGAAUGAAAGGUGGCCUCUAUGUAUAAGCUAUCGCUGAAGGAGGGGAUGGCGUCUGAUUAGCUAGUUGGAGGGGUAACGGCCCACCAAGGCAAUGAUCAGUAGCCGGUCUGAGAGGAUGAACGGCCACAUUGGGACUGAGACACGGCCCAAACUCCUACGGGAGGCAGCAGUGGGGAAUCUUCCGCAAUGGACGAAAGUCUGACGGAGCAACGCCGCGUGAGUGAUGAAGGUCUUCGGAUUGUAAAGCUCUGUUAAUCGGGACGAAAGAGUUCUGCGUGAAUAAUGCAGAAAAGUGACGGUACCGGAAUAGAAAGCCACGGCUAACUUCGUGCCAGCCGCCGCGGUAA